UACUAAGAUCUACUUUCGGUCCAAGACAAGAGAGCCCGGUAACAUUCAAGCAUCCUCUUUCCUUCUCCAAUGGUGUCAACUAACAACGAAGUCGCUCGCGAGUUUCGCCUCUUCAAGGUAUACAAUAAUACAAAGAUGGUCGCGUCGAAAAGUUCCACAACACCCAAAAGAUCCCACCUUCCACCGACUCCUUCACCGGCGUCGAAUCCGAGGACGCACUCAUUUCACCCGAACCCGCCGUUUCUGCCCGUAUCUUCCUACCCAUGAUCCACGACCCGACCCAGAAACUCCCCAUCCUAUUCUACAUCCACGGAGGCGGGUUCUGCUUGGAGUCCGCUUUCUCUCCAAUGUUUCACAAGCACCUCACCUCCUUAGCCGUCCAAGCCAACGCCAUUGCCGUCUCCGUCGAAUACGGGCUGUUCCCGGAUCGACCCAUACUUGCUACGGGUCCAGUCCCAAUCGACCCGAUCAGGACCUGACCCGUGGCUGAACCAGUACUCCGACUUUAACCGGGUUUUCUUAGGCGGGGACAGCGGCGGAGCCAACAUUUGCCACAGCCUGGCAGUUCGGGUCGGGUCAAUCGGGUUACCCGGAGUGAAAGUCGCG
rnacentral:lncRNA from 1 species